UCGUCCUUGGCACCCUUCGAUGCCUGUAGGAAGCCGGCGGCCUCCACGUGUUCAAUGAGCAAUCCGGCCGAUCGGAAAAAGAAGAGAAUCGAGUUGGCCAUUAAUCUCACUAGCCGUAUCGAAAGUAAUCGAACCCUUAAAGCUGUAUAGUCGAUGGAGUAGAAGCUGAGAUCUGUUUCUCUAUAGUCGAUGGUGAAGAAGCUGUAUAGUCAAUGGAGUAGAAGGUCGACAUCAUGGCGGCGACGAGAUAAGUGAAGCGCUCCGAUCUUUUCCUGGCCGAGCUGCGAAAUCGGCGGCGACGAGCUGCGAAAUCGCCGACUCAAAGGACUAAAUAGUAAACUCGGCGAGGAAGCGCAGUGAAUCUCCGGGCGGACCAAUGAGAACUAGCAGUUAUAGGCGGUUCGAGAGCUGGCCGCAAUGGAAAUUCCGACCGCCAUAGACGGCGGAGGUUGUAAAAUGUUAAGAGCAGAAGAGAGGAGAGAGGCGGUUUUGGAAGGUUGGAGGAAAAUGCAGAAUGGAAAAGUUUGGGACUUUGGGGGAGUUUAAAGUGGAAUCAAGUGAAUUUUUAAGCCUUUGAGCUUAACAUGCGGUGUGCAGAAAGAGGAAAGGUGUCCCCAGGUAAAACAACAGCUUAUUGAAAACCCAACCCGCAAUGGCCAUGGACAUGAACAUGAUCGAACUACUAGAAGAAGAAGGAAUUAAAGCAAUGGAAAAAGCUAGCUGACACGUAUGUGCAUUGGUUUUUUACAAAGAGAAAAGGGCAGAAGUGGUGGUGACCCCUCUUGUUAGCCUGGCCGCCUCUGGUCUACCACUAUUUUCUUUGCCAGGCCGGCCAUGCAUGUAGGUACAGACUUUCAAGAAAGUGAUGUCCUCUGCUCACAGGAUGCACUGUAUUUGAUCAUCCAUUUCUAGUUAAUUAAUCCCCAAAAAAAUUGAAAUAUUUGUGCGCCUAAUGAGGUGGGCGACGGAGACAUCAAGGCCGGAAGGCCAGAGGAAGAACAAGGCGACAGCGAGGAGAAUGAUAAUGGAGACGCAGAGGAGGAAGUUCCGGCAGAGGAGGAUCCUUGUCAUCUUCGAUCUGCCAGAGGAAGAACAGGCGACGACGAGGAGAACAAACUGUGUCGGAGAAGUAGGCGAUUGGCCGUCAGAUUUCUUAGAGGAAGUCAUUUUUGCUCGUCGGAUACUGAAUGAGACCCGCGACAAUGGAAGAUAUCAUAUAAGUUUGAAGUAGUUUGACGACAUCCUCUUGCAAACCGCGUCGCCCUCUUCGUACAGUAGAUGAACGGAAAUGGCGGAUUGGCAGUGAAAAGCGAGGGCUGAGCUAAGGUUGAUAAGUGAAAGUCGCGGAAAUUCAUUCCAAUAGUUUAAAACAGUUUGUAAGCUGAUUACAACUUUAAAAUUGUUUUACUUUACUAGUGAGCUGAGCGUUGUACUUCUAAGCUUGCUAGCUAUUUUAUUUACAAGCAAUGCAGCUGGAUAUUGGACUCUUCUAUGUGUGCAGUGUAUAUGCAUCAAAUUUAAAUUAGGGUGUGUUUUCUUAAACAUCAAUAA